rnacentral:rRNA from 1 species
UACGUAGGUGGCAAGCGUUAUCCGGAAUUAUUGGGGCGUAAAGAGCGCGCAGGUGGUUGAUUAAGUCUGAUGUGAAAGCCCACGGCUUAACCGUGGAGGGUCAUUGGAAACUGGUCGACUUGAGUGCAGGAGAGGAGAGUGGAAUUCCUAGUGUAGCGGUGAAAUGCGUAGAUAUCAGGAGGAACACCAGUUGCGAAGGCGGCUCUCUGGACUGUAACUGACACUGAGGCACGAAAGCGUGGGGAGCAAACAGGAUUAGAUACCCCGGUA